GACGAAGGAUGCAAGCGUUAUCCGGAUUCAUUGGGUUUAAAGGGAGCGUAGGUGGCCCGAUAAGUCAGUGGUGAAAUCUCUCGGCUUAACUGAGAAAUUGCCAUUGAUACUGUUGGGCUUGAGUGUAGUUGCCGUUGGCGGAAUAUGACAUGUAGUGGUGAAAUACAUAGAGAUGUCAUAGAACACCGAUUGCGAAGGCAGCUAACGAAACUAUAACUGACACUGAGGCUCGAAAGUGCGGGGAUCAAACAGG
rnacentral:rRNA from 1 species